CCUUUUCCGGNUCUUCCGCGCCGUAGCUAACGCAUUAAGUGCCCCGCCUGGGGAGUACGGCCGCAAGGCUAAAACUCAAAGGAAUUGACGGGGGCCCGCACAAGCGGCGGAGCAUGCGGAUUAAUUCGAUGCAACGCGAAGAACCUUACCAAGGCUUGACAUGUGCCGGUCGGCUCCGGAGACGGGGCUUCCUCCUUGUGGGGCCGGUUCACAGGUGGUGCAUGGUUGUCGUCAGCUCGUGUCGUGAGAUGUUGGGUUAAGUCCCGCAACGAGCGCAACCCUUGUCCCGUGUUGCCAGCACGUUGUGGUGGGGACUCGCGGGAGACUGCCGGGGUCAACUCGGAGGAAGGUGGGGAUGACGUCAAAUCAUCAUGCCCCUUAUGUCUUGGGCUUCACGCAUGCUACAAUGGCCGGUACAGAGGGCUGCGAUACCGUGAGGUGGAGCGAAUCCCUUAAAGCCGGUCUCAGUUCGGAUCGGUGUCUGCAACUCGACACCGUGAAGUUGGAGUCGCUAGUAAUCGCAGAUCAGCAACGCUGCGGUGAAUACGUUCUCGGGCCUUGUACACACCGCCCGUCACGUCAUGAAAGUCGGCAACACCCGAAGCCCGUGGCCCUACGGG
rnacentral:rRNA from 1 species